rnacentral:tRNA from 2 species
AGGGAAGUAGCACAGUUGGUAGUGUUCCUGGUUUGGGACCAGGAGGUCGUCGGUUCGAGUCCGGUCUUCCCUACUA